rnacentral:rRNA from 1 species
GACGUAGGGGGCGAGCGUUGUCCGGAUUUAUUGGGCGUAAAGAGCUCGUAGGCGGCUUGUCGCGUCGACUGUGAAAUCCCGCGGCUCAACUGCGGGUCUGCAGUCGAUACGGGCAGGCUAGAGUUCGGUAGGGGAGACUGGAAUUCCUGGUGUAGCGGUGAAAUGCGCAGAUAUCAGGAGGAACACCGGUGGCGAAGGCGGGUCUCUGGGCCGAUACUGACGCUGAGGAGCGAAAGCGUGGGGAGCGAACAGG